GAUGAACGCUAGCGGCAGGCCUAAUACAUGCAAGUCGAACGGGAUUGAGGAGCUUGCUCCUCAUGAGAGUGGCGCACGGGUGCGUAACACGUAUGUAACCUACCUUAAUCAGGGGAAUAACCUCUCGAAAGAGAGAUUAACACCGCAUAAAAUCACACUAUGGCAUCAUAGAAUGAUCAAAUAUUUAUAGGAUUAAGAUGGGCAUGCGGAACGUUAGCUAGUUGGUAAGGUAACGGCUUACCAAGGCUACGAUGUUUAGGGGAUCUGAGAGGAUGGCCCCCCACACUGGUACUGAGACACGGACCAGACUCCUACGGGAGGCAGCAGUAAGGAAUAUUGGUCAAUGGGCGGAAGCCUGAACCAGCCAUGCCACGUGCAGGAAGACGGCCCUACGGGUUGUAAACUGCUUUUGUACCGGAAUAAACCUUUCUACGCGUAGGAAGCUGAAUGUACGGUAAGAAUAAGGAUCGGCUAACUCCGUGCCAGCCGCCGCGGUAA
rnacentral:rRNA from 1 species